rnacentral:lncRNA from 1 species
AUUGAUGUGGAACUAAUGCUGCAUGAGGCAGAAAGUGAGAUAAGGAGGUAGUAGCAAAUGGUGGUGAUGAUCAUGACACUGAUAAGAUCGAGCACAAGCGAGAUUUUUGGUCUCCUCGAUCAUAGUGGGCAUUGUGUUGAACUUGACUAACGUAAAGAAAAGGAUGGUAGAGGCGGAGAAAAGGCUACAAGUGCUGAAAGGGGUGA